UACGAAGGGGGCUAGCGUUGUUCGGAAUUACUGGGCGUAAAGCGCACGUAGGCGGAUCGAUCAGUCAGGGGUGAAAUCCCAGGGCUCAACCCUGGAACUGCCUUUGAUACUGUCGAUCUGGAGUAUGGAAGAGGUGAGUGGAAUUCCGAGUGUAGAGGUGAAAUUCGUAGAUAUUCGGAGGAACACCGGUGGCGAAGGCGGGUCUCUGGGCCGAUAUUGACGCUGAGGAGCGAAAGCGUGGGGAGCAAACAGG
rnacentral:rRNA from 1 species